UCGUCUACUUCCGGCGUGCAGACUGCGCGCAC
rnacentral:sRNA from 1 species